rnacentral:rRNA from 1 species
AAAGCUCAAAUUUGGAAUCUGGCGGUCCUUGUGGCUGUCCGAGUUGUAAUUUAGAGAAGUGUUACCCGCGCUGGACCGUGUACAAGUCUCCUCGAACGGAGCAUCAUAGAGGGUGAGAAUCCCGUAUAUGACAUGGACUCCCAGGGCUUUGUGGUACACUCUCAACGAGUCGAGUUGUUUGGGAAUGCAGCUCUAAAUGGGUGGUAAAUUCCAUCUAAAGCUAAAUAUAGGCGAGAGACCGAUAGCGAA